rnacentral:lncRNA from 1 species
UGUAUCCCUCACCCCCUUAUCUCCCCUUCUCCAGUUGCAGCCCAGCAGCUCCACAUUGGGGGAGGAGCCGCUCGUGCAUCGAGGGGCUGCCUGGCACAGUGUCCCUCCUGGGGGCCCUGCCCCCCCAGAGAACAGUCAGGGGAUCCCAUCCCCUGGGGAGGAACCUAGAGAGGAGAAUGCAGGGCCGGGGCAAGGCCCCCCUGACAUGGAGGCCUGGGAGUUGAGGGGGGAACUGCAGUCAGUGCAGCAGGAGUUGGCCCAGUGCACAGAGCAGCGGGACCAGGCAGUCACUAAGGUGAGUGCCCUGGAACGGCGGGUGCAGCAGCUGUUGGAGGAGCUGAGGGGCCAGAGGCAGAGAGCAGGGGCCACGCAGCGCCGCCUGGAGCAGCAGGAGAGGGAGCACCGGCAGGAGCUGGCGAAGCUGGAGCGGCACCAUCGGGAAGCGCUGGAGCAGCAGGUUACCCGGUUGGACAUCCCUGAGCCCCCCCACCGCCCACCAAACAAGGUGAGAGAGGUGUCGGUGCCAAGGGGCAGAAGGGACUGUUUA